AUGCGUGAUCAGGUCGGCGUCGACCUGGACGGCUUCCCCCUCGACCACGAGUUCCCGGACGACUACGGGCUAGAGGAAGAGGACGAGUGCGACAUCGACAUGGAGCCUUUGUUCGAGGAAGAGCUCGCCAACCAAGCCACCGGUCCUAAGCCCAAGCGCAAGAGCAAGCAUAAUAAGGCGUACACGGCGGCCGAGGACAAGCUUCUUUGCGAGUGUUGGCGAGACAUUGGACAAGACCCGAAGACGGGCGCCGAGCAAAAGCAUUCGACCUUUUGGACUCGUGUGCACCGAGAGUUCCAUCAGCGCAAGAAGUUUCCACCUUACCAAUUUGUGAGCACGCGCGGGUGGGUCUCCAUUUCCAACCGGUGGAGGGGGUGA
rnacentral:rRNA from 1 species